GACGAACGCUGGCGGCGUGCUUAACACAUGCAAGUCGAACGGAAAGGCCCUGCUUUUGUGGGGUGCUCGAGUGGCGAACGGGUGAGUAACACGUGAGUAACCUGCCCUUGACUUUGGGAUAACUUCAGGAAACUGGGGCUAAUACCGGAUAGGAGCUCCUGCUGCAUGGUGGGGGUUGGAAAGUUUCGGCGGUUGGGGAUGGACUCGCGGCUUAUCAGCUUGUUGGUGGGGUAGUGGCUUACCAAGGCUUUGACGGGUAGCCGGCCUGAGAGGGUGACCGGCCACAUUGGGACUGAGAUACGGCACAGACUCCUACGGGAGGCAGCAGUGGGGAAUAUUGCACAAUGGGCGGAAGCCUGAUGCAGCAACGCCGCGUGCGGGAUGACGGCCUUCGGGUUGUAAACCGCUUUCGCCUGUGACGAAGCGUGAGUGACGGUAAUGGGUAAAGAAGCACCGGCUAAUUACGUG
rnacentral:rRNA from 1 species